GGGGCUAGCGUUGUUCGGAAUCACUGGGCGUAAAGCGCACGCAGGCGGAUUGAUAAGUCGGGGGUGAAAUCCCGGGGCUCAACCUCGGAAUUGCCUUCGAUACUGUCUGUCUUGAGUCCGGGAGAGGUGAGUGGAAUUCCUAGUGUAGAGGUGAAAUUCGUAGAUAUUAGGAAGAACACCAGUGGCGAAGGCGGCUCACUGGCCCGGUACUGACGCUCAUGUGCGAAAGCGUGGGGAGCAAACAGG
rnacentral:rRNA from 1 species